CAACAGCAUCCUGGAAGCCAAAGUGCUCUGGCCAAGGGCUGUUUACACUUGGCUGUGACAGCACUUGCUCUCCAGGGGCAGGAUCUCAACACCCUAAGCCAUAGGGCCCAAGCAGAGCCACACCUGCCAGACUGUCCCUCUGGGCCACAAUGAUUCGAUCACCUGGCAUGGACAGGGUGGUGGCGACAAGGAAAACAAGACUAAGAACAGAGCGCCUGCUCCAUUGUGUGAGAGUGGAGAAAGCCCAGAAUCUGUUGGUUGAUGGCUCAGCUUCAACACUUGUCUCUGUUGCCUUCCACCUGCAUUUUCUUCUGCGCGUCCCACAGUCUCUCUGAGCGUCCUCAAUUUCCAUAUCUGUAGAGAGGGGAAGUCCCAUGCCCAUGAGUCUUCAGCCAACAGCCACUGGGAGAAGGCUCACACCCAAGACUUUGUCCAUGCUUUGCAGGCCACCACUCCGCUCCAUCCGCGCCUGCAGGUCUGUGCUGCUCAGGUUUUUCUCACAGCCCGUCUCUCCCCAGGACUCUGGCACUGAGACCAGAUGGGGCUGGGCUCACUGAGAUAGCCAAGUGACAUCACCACACUGGAUCCAGCAUCAUCCUGCCCUGCCCACAAUAAAUGCUUUGG